rnacentral:lncRNA from 1 species
CAACACAUCAUGUUAAUCAAUCUAACGAAACUUCACAUUUGAUAAGCACAAUCAACAAAUACAAUAAGAUUCACAUUCAUUUGCAAAAUAAUGAAAUCGUGACUAAUGUGCAAGUGUAACUUCACUAAUUAAAUCACAAGAAACACAAUAAUCAUACAAGACACGAGUGACACUAUGCCCACUUAGUCUGACAGCACAGACCUGCUCUGAUUCGACACCUAACCCACACAGUCCG